ACCGCAAGACAACGUAUCUCCCCUCUCCUGUGCAAUCAGUCAAAGAACAUUUAGUCAACCUGAACUGGGAGCACAGCGCUCCUGGGGCUGUUGGGCAUUCAAAAGAGUGUGGAUCAGUGUUAAAAGUGCUUCAUGGAGAAAUGGAGGCCUGAAAGCGACUCUGAAGGAGGAGUGGGGCUCAGCAAACAGCAGACGAGUUUCAAUCCAAGCACCCAUUACCCCCCUAACACACGGCAUACGUGCAUCUCAUCUCCUCCUGUGUCGCUAAGAAGCUACCCAUA
rnacentral:lncRNA from 1 species